GGACCCGUAGCUCAGCGGUAGAGCAUCUGAUUCCAGCUCGCUAGAAACAGCAUCCAGAAGGUCAUCCGUUCAAAUCGGGUCGGGUUCA